UAGAGACUAAAAAGACAAAUCAACCUAAUACCACUACAAAACCUAGCAGCCGUAGAGGAGAAAAGAGGGAGAUUUGAGUCUUCUUUUUCAUUUUUCCUGGUUUUUGAUUAAAAAAAAACAUGAACCCCACUGUUUUCAACCACGAAAAUACCCCAAAACCUCCAUCUCCACCUGCAAAUCGCCCUUAAACAACCAACACUUGCGUAAAACAUAGCACCUUAACUCCAAUACGAUUUUGGGUCCUGUAUCUCAUUCUUGGGUUGGGUUUGAAGAGGUCAAGGUCACUGGUCGGAGUCCGGCUCGUGGUUCCGGCAUUUUUGGUUCUAGUCGAGGUUCACAACAAUUUGUUUUGAAGUCUAUUAGAAGGAUGUUGAAGUAGAUACAAAUUACAAUUGAAUAUAUUGGUAUUUUAAGGUAAGAAACGUUGUUCUGUAAAGAGGUAUGGAAAGGCACACAUGUGACCUAGAUUAUGGGCUCGAGGUCCGAGGUUAGUUCCGAAAAUAAGAGGUACGUUGAUAUGUCCCGCGUCCGAGGUUCAUUCUGGAGCGGAGGUUUAUGCUCAGGUCCGAGGAGUGAAUCAAGAACGAGUGGUACAUGGAAACCAUGGGUCCCCUGCAGGUCAUGACUACUGAGCAAUGACAUCAGUUAGCAUGUGUGUACAGUGAGCGUGGUUAUUGUGGUAACUUAAUUCUGUUGUGGCUUCUGUGGAUUAUGACCCUUGAUAUCUUGGUGAUUUGAUUGUGAUUAUCCUUGGUUGACUUGUGUGGUUUAUUGAUAUUCAUGUCUGUUGGCUGACUUGCUUAUUCUAUUGAUUUUAUGAAAUGUGCAUGAUACUAAUCUUAGUCGGCCUAUGAUAUCUACCGGUACGUAGUGUUUGUACUGAUACUACCUUGCUGCAUUCUUUUGAGUGCAUAUUGUGAUACAGAGACUGCUACCCGCCCUCACAUUUAGCGUGGAGGACGUUUGCUGACAGAUUUAGGGUGAGCUUUUUCCCAUGCUAGGCCGCCCGAAGAUCUUCUUCUUAUGAUUUGUUUUCUUAUUCUGGACAUUAUGGAUAUUUAUUAGUCAGAUUUCAUUCCUUAGACAUGUUUUAGAUUAGAGUCUUGUACGAUGACUUUUGGAUUUUGGGGAUUUUGUAAUAGUUAGCACUUCUGCACUUAUUUUAGUAUUUUAUGGCAUGACUUAUUUUGCUUA